rnacentral:rRNA from 1 species
AUUCCAGCUCCAAUAACGUAUGUUAAAGUUGUUGCAGUUAAAAAGCUCGUAGUCUGACUCUUGGCCUGGCGGCGAGCGUCGGCGGCCCACAAGGUCGCCUGGCGCGACCCGCUGGCCAUGUACUUCGGAGGAGCGCGUGUGCUUUUGAUUAAGUGGGCGCGGGAUUCCGAUAGUUUACUUUGAGAAAAAUAGAGUGUUCAAAGCAGGCGAUUGCCUUGAAUACAUUAGCAUGGGAUAAUGGAAUAGGACAUUGGUUCUAUUUUGAUGGUUUACGGGCCGAUGUAAUGAUUAAUAGGGACGGUUGGGGACAUUUAUAUUCCAUGGCUAGAGGUGAAAUUCUUGGAUUCAUGGAAGAUAAACUGCUGCGAAAGCGCCUGUCAAAGACGUUUUCAUUA